rnacentral:rRNA from 1 species
AGGACGAACGCUGGCGGCGUGCUUAACACAUGCAAGUCGAGCGGAAAGGCCCUUCGGGGUACUCGAGCGGCGAACGGGUGAGUAACACGUGGGCAACCUGCCCUCAGCUCUGGGACAACUCCGGGAAACCGGGGCUAAUACCGGAUACGACCUCCUUCCGCAUGGUUGGUGGUGGAAAGUUCUUCGGCUGAGGAUGGGCCCGCGGCCUAUCAGCUUGUUGGUGGGGUGAUGGCCUACCAAGGCGACGACGGGUA